rnacentral:tRNA from 1 species
UGGGCAGUAGCUCAGCAGUAGAGCUCCCGAUUCACAUGCGGGGAAGACCUGGGUUCGAUUCCCGGCUGCUUAC